rnacentral:lncRNA from 1 species
CGUGUAUCCUUGUUAUCUAAUAUUUUGAUAGCAUAUAUUAUCCAAAGUCAUAUGAGGUGAAAACAUUUUAUCACCCGUAUUCUAUACCAGGUAUUUUGGAGAGUUAUUUUAUCAGAUUAAACAUUUGUUUAAGACCUUUAAUCGAAUACCGGGUAAAUAUUUUGUUAUAAUGUUGAUUUAAAGAUAUGAAAGGCGUUUAUCUUUU